rnacentral:rRNA from 1 species
AUGCCGGUAUCUUUUCAUAAUCAUAACAGGGACGUAGCUCUUGCUAUAGUUGUAAGUUGUGAUCCUAAAUUUAAACUUGAUGGUGCUAAAAUUACAAAUGAAUUCUGGGUAGUACAUGUCGAUAUGGCACUUGUGAAAACUGAAGAUUUGGUACGGAGUCGCAAAAGCAGUAAUACUCUCGAUAAGGCAGGAAAAAAAGAGUGCAUGACCUUCAACCUUUAUUCAAAAUAUAUAUGGAUGAUUAUAAUGGUGCGUGGCAAGUAUACUGCAAUGAUGACGAUGUUCCGGUUCAUGAUGAUGAUGAUGAUGGAUGCUCUCUUAGUUAAGUUGUAG